ensembl:lncRNA
GGGCAGGCAGGCCCGUUGCUAAUAGUGCUGGGGCAGGAGGGGGGUGGGGCGCGCACUGCGGGGAGUCCCGUCUCCAGGGUUCCGGGUGCGGAUGUGGCUGGCUAGGAGGUCCCGCCCGUCGCGCCCCAGGCAGGCCCAGGCUCAGCAAAGCAGGCACGUGUCCCCUCAACCUCCGGCCUGAGACUAGGCUAAGAUGCUGGGAAGCUCCCAAGGUGUAACUCGGCCUUUGGGCUGACCGCGCCCUUGAGCCACGCUUUUUGGGCCUCGGCUUUUGCAGUCUGUAAAAAAUAACCCUAGUGACAGCUACCAUUUUUCAGAACCACGUGCCAAACAUAGUGUUAAACGUUUAACGUACUUUUUCUCAAGCCACGCGACAAUUCCAUUUUGCUGAUGAGCAAGGUGAGACGCAGAGAGGUUGCGACUUGCCCGAAGUCACACAGCUAGCAAGAUACCUAGGCGGGACUCCAGGUUCUUUACGGGUGGUCUUGUUUUAGCAAGAGGUCUGGAGUGGUGCACCUAUAUAGGUCGAUCGCACAGGGCAUUCACUAGUUCCGUGAGCCCCUUGGUGGCGUCUCGCUGCACGUGUUCUAGUCUUGGAGCUGGGCACGUGUAUCUUGGCGCACUCCCUCGUGCCAAAGCCUGGGGACAGAGGCAUAGCCUAGCGCACUGGUGCCCAGGUGCGCCCUUCCCGGUUAGGACCCGGCAGAGUCAUAUGGUCUGAGCCGCGGGCUGAGUGGAGCGGGGGCGGGGAACUCAGAGUAGAGUCCACGCGGGCCGAGGCUCGGGGUGACGCGAGGGGGCCCAGCUACCGUGACCUCCUCCGCGGUUUCCAUGGAGACGCUUGCCUCUUGAGGGGGGAGAGCCUACAAAUUGCCGCCCCCCCGAAUCUCUCCAGGCGCGCACGCAGCCCGGCGCGGGCCGGGGCACAGGGCGCAGGCGGGAGGUCGCAUCUGCAGCUUUGGCGCAAUGAAUCAGGCGCGGCCGCCGCCGCCGCUGCGGAGCGCGUCUGGCAUCCGGAGUCUCCCGGGAUCGAAAAUAAUUUGGGCAAAGCGGUGGGAGGUGUGUGCGCGCGCUCCGAGAGGAGGGCGGGGGAGCCGGCCGGGCCGGGUGC